UUGUGAAAAAUUAGCGUACUUAAGUGUAUUGAAAGCAUACUUUUUGUGUGCUUAAAAUAAUAAAAGUAUAAUUUUCGAAAAGUGCACUUGCUGAUAAUAUAAUAUAAUACAAAUUAAAGACCACUUAAGCGUACUUAAAUGGAAUACACUUUAAUUACACUAUUUAUUAACACACUUAAGUGCACUUUUUACAACUGCACUUUGUAAUAAUAUGUAUUUAAUUUUAACUUAUAGUAAGUACACUUUCAUCAUAAUAUUUAUAAUCACACUUAAGUGCACUUUUAAAAAUGCACUUUAUAAUAAUAUCUAAUUAAUUUGAACUUAUAGUAAGUACACUUUCAUCAUAAUAUUUCACUAACACACUUAAGGACACUUUUUAAAAAUGCACUUUUUAAUAAUAUCUAAUUAAUUUGAACUUAUAGUAAGUACACUUUCAUUAUAAUAUUUAUAAACACAAUUAAGUGCACUUUUAAAAUGCACUUUGUAAUAAUAUCUAAUUAAUUUGAACUUACAGUAAGUACACUUUCAUCAUAAUAUUUCACUAACACACUUAAGGACACUUUUUAAAAAUGCACUUUGUAAUAAUAUCUAAUUAAUUUGAACUUAUAGUAAGUACACUUUCAUCACAAUAUUUCACUAACACACUUAAGGACACUUUUUAAAAAUGCACUUUGUAAUAAUAUCUAAAUAAUUUUAAAUUAUAGUAAGUACACUUUCAUCAUAAUAUUUAUAAACACACUUAAGUGCACUUUUAAAAAUGCACUUUGUAUUAAUGUCUCAUUAAGCUUAACUUAAAGAAAGUACACUUUCAACAUAAUAUUUAUAAACACACUUAAGUGCACUUUUAAAAAUGCACUUUUUAAUACUGUCUAAUUAAGCUUAACUUAUAGUAAGUACACUUUCAUCACAAUAUUUCUUAACAUACUUAAGUACACUUUUUAAAAAUGCACUUUGUCUAAUUUAGUUUUACUUAAAUGUAACCCUGGUUAAAUAAUUAAAUAUUAUUAUUUUAAAAGUGUGCUUAAAAAUAAUAGAGACUAUUCAUACAUCUACAUUUAUUUUAUAAAUGAGGAAAUACAUGUGAAUAAUUCAAUCUGAAUUAUAAAUCUGAAAUGAGUAAACCAAUCGGAGUGUUUAAUUGUAAGCUCCGCCCCUUUUUUGCUUUCGGAUCGCGUCUCAGUUCAGAGGAGAGAUGCAGAGCGACAGAGACACUCUAUCUAACGCGAGAGUGUUUAAUUUGAUUAAAUAUGACUCCUAAGUUCAUAUAAACUGAAGAAAUCAGAAUUUAACUUGCAUAUAUUCAAUGAUACAGCGUGAUUGUGUGGAUUGAGCACUUUUUGAGCUUUCAUUUUGACCUGUGUGAUUAUGUAAAACCACAUGGUGCGUUGUGUUCACUGACGCCAUUUUGGUUGCACGUGCCUGUGAAAGACAAAAAGAGAGAGAAACACGUGAAUGGACAGGUAUUUGUCUAAAUUGUCAUUUAUUAUGAUGAUGGCACUUAUGUAUGUAUUUUAUUUGUUUCCUGUAUUGUGUACAAUUGUUCAUCAUUAUUGAUACACAAUAUUGAAUGUUUUUUCCUUUCGUAUGAACAUUCCUUGAGCUGGAUUUUCCUAAUUGAUGGCGAGCCUCCCAUUUCGACCUGAUUGGAUCACGAAUCUAGAGGAAAGGACAAAUUUCUAUUUUAAAUAUUUUUCUUCAGACAAGUAAGAGGAUACAUUUCAGAAACUGUUUCCUUAUUUUGUUUGUUUACUUCAUUGAACUGAAACAUUUCAGAAGCACAAAUCUGAUAAUUUAAGACUGAUCAAUACUCCAAUUGAUAAGAACUUUGAACUUGAAUACGGAUUUCAGUGUGUUACGUAUAUAAUUUGUACCAUCUUUGUACAUUGAUUGUGACUGUGAUUUCUGUAAAUGAGAAGUAAUUUAGAGGGUGCACCCAUAGUAUAUAUCCCCCUUCUUCAAAUCUUACCCUGGAGGUCCAAAGCACUACAGAGUUUAGCUCCAACCCUGAUCAAACACACCUGAGCAAGCUAAUCAAGGUCUUCAUGAUCACUAGGAAAUCACAGGUGGGUAAGUUUGAUUAGGGUUGGAGCUAAACUCUGUAGUGCUCUGGACCUCCAGGGUAAGAUUUGAGGAACCCUGGUAUAUAUAGUUAAUUGUAUUUUCAUUGUUGUUUACUAUUUUUUGUGAUUAAGGAAAGAAAAAGAAAGGUUUCUCAAUACUCAAAGUAAAAUAAUUUAUUAAUCAACUUACCUUCUGUCUCUGCUUGUUGCUCACUAUCACUGCUACCUCCUCCUUCGUACCGUGCACCCUUCUGAUCUUAUUAUUAUGCCUGGUCCAUAAGUAAGUGAGUUAAUAUCCGCUACAUAAAGAAAGUACACUUUCAUGGCAAUAUUUCUAAACGCAUUUAAUAAAUGAUCAUUAGACUGAUGUGACCUACAAAAGACUUGUUAAUUUAAAGUUCAUGCAGUUCUUUUUUAGUUGUCUGUUAAAAUGUUAAAAAAUAAUAACUUUGAGUUUAUUUUUUUCUAAGGGAUGUAAUUAUUCAAUAUUGAUAGUUGUUUGAUUCCAAUUUAACAAUAUUAAAAUGAGUUUUUUUUUGUUUGGACAUAUACAACUCAUAAUUAAUUUAUUAAAUGUACUUUUGCAAAACAAAAAAUCUGACUACCAAACUGUUUUAUUGUCAGUGUAAGCAUUGUGGUUUUUGUUUGUUUGCAAUGCAUUAAACUGAAAUGAAUACA